rnacentral:lncRNA from 1 species
GUUGCAUUCCAUAAUUCACAUAUUUGACCUAGAUAUGACAACCGUUCAUAUUGGCUGUUCAAAAACUCCUCCCUCUGAAAAAUCACAGUGCCAGCCGUUUGCUUCUUUACAAACUAAUAAGGGAGGUUCAUGGAAGAGCCUACACAAUCGCUUUACCCUUAUACACAUCAGACAUAGAAAUUACCUUAAUUGUCCUAAUCAGAAUCAAAAUAAUUGAUGCCAGUUAUACUUUAUUGUAGUUUUAAAAUGGGUAGGCACAUAUUCCUGUUAAUU